rnacentral:rRNA from 1 species
AAUGCGGUGCUUGCACCAAGUGAUUUUAGAGCGGUGAGCGGCGGAUGGGUGAGUAACACGUGGGUAACCUGCCUCUAAGCAGGGGAUAACAUUUGGAAACAGAUGCUAAUACCGUAUAAAUCCUAAAACCACAUGGUUUUAGGCUGAAAGGCGGCUUCGGCUGUCACUUAGAGAUGGACCCGCGGCGUAUUAGCUAGUUGGUGAGGUAAUGGCUCACCAAGGCAAUGAUACGUAGCCGAACUGAGAGGUUGAUCGGCCACAUUGGGACUGAGACACGGCCCAAACUCCUACGGGAGGCAGCAGUAGGGAAUCUUCCACAAUGGACGCAAGUCUGAUGGAGCAACGCCGCGUGAGUGAAGAAGGCUUUCGGGUCGUAAAACUCUGUUGUUGAAGAAGAACACGUUUGAGAGUAACUGUUCAGACGUUGACGGUAUUCAACCAGAAAGCCACGGCUAACUACGUGCCAGCAGCCGCGGUAAUACGUAGGUGGCAAGCGUUAUCCGGAUUUAUUGGGCGUAAAGCGAGCGCAGGCGGUUUUUUAAGUCUGAUGUGAAAGCCCUCGGCUUAACCGAGGAAGUGCAUCGGAAACUGGGAAACUUGAAUGCUGAAGAGGACAGUGGAACUCCAUGUGUAGCGGUGAAAUGCGUAGAUAUAUGGAAGAACACCAGUGGCGAAGGCGGCUGUCUGGUCAGUUAUUGACGCUAAGGCUCGAAAGCAUGGGUAGCGAACAGGAUUAGAUACCCUGGUAGUCCAUGCCGUAAACGAUGAAUACUAGGUGUUGGAGGGUUUCCGCCCUUCAGUGCCGCAGCUAACGCAUUAAGUAUUCCGCCUGGGGAGUACGACCGCAAGG